CCCUCCCCUCUCCUCUCUCCUUUUGUCUUUCACUCUUCCUUACUUCAUUUUUUUAUAUGUAGUUUUGCUAAUUAUUUUUUUCAUUGUAGGCUUUGCAAAGUGGAAUAGAGGAAAAAUAAUUCAUUAUUUGAAUACAAAGAUUUUGUUUGAAUUCUCACUACAUCGUAAAGUCGUCUAUACCCAAUCAUUGAUUGAUUUAUGAGAGCUUAUGUCACUUUGGAUAAAAAGAUUGGACGACAACAACAUAAAUCACCAAACAAAUGCUACAAAAUUUUUGUUAUGUUUAUUUGAUGUGGAUUUUAAAAAGAUUUAACAUUGUUAUGUUAAAAUUAUUAUACACAAGU